AGCAAGACUUGAAACCAACUCGCACCCUCAAAGCUCCGGAAGCCAUUCAGUGUUUCCAUCUUGGCUGAGUGAGUUCUUCACUGAAACUCAAUUUGACUUUGACAGUCAUCUAAUGAGAACUCAAAAGUCAUUCUUGGUUCAGCCACAGUCAAAGAACUUGCAGAGCAUUCUCUGACGAGGUCCUCAAGGACAACUGAGAGAAGGCAGAAAGGUGUUAAAUGGUUUGCAGAAUUGUUGGGAAGGCUAAGCUUCCAGGAGCAGCUCCCAAAGUCUCCACACACAACUGGACCACCAGGGAACCUGCUCCCUCCACCAGGACAGGACUUGGAAACCUGCCACCGCAAUUACCAGCACCAGAAGGAUCUUGUCUCUGCUAAGUCUCUGUCGACAUAGUGAAUACCCUGUGCCCUGCCUCUCUCUCCCUGACUCAGGUCCCAUUCCAGGUCUUGCCCAAGUCUUUCUGAUUGGUGGGACUUAAAUCACACCCAAAAUUCCAGCUGCAGGAGAGCUCUGAGAUUUCAUCUUUCCAACCUCUGUGUGCUACGUGGGGGUUGGAGCACUUGCUGACAAGCCUUGCAACCACCAUUGACAGGAUGUCCUCCACCUUUUCAAUCUGAUUUGCUCUUUGCCAUGCAGACCUGUGGAUGAAGAGCCAGAGUCCUCCAAGGUGAAGCUGGACUGAAUAUUUCUGUCCAUAAGACUAUUAGAAUCCCCCAAAGUGGGAUACCAGUGAGGACCUCACCAGCAGCUGCUGUCUCUCCAAUGCAGAGCUUCCUGCCUCCUGCCCAGCCCCUGCUGUCAGAGAUACUUGGUGCUUCCAGUUCUGGAGACUUCCUU
rnacentral:lncRNA from 10 species